GAUAGAGACGAUACCACGUUGAAAACACCGGUUCUCGUCCGAUCACCGCAGUUAAGCAACACCCGACCGUUGCUGCUACCUUGAUGUGGUGGUCGGGCUUGUCUAUCG
rnacentral:rRNA from 1 species